ACCCGCCUCCCUCGAUCCGGGUUCGCCCCCAAGCCGGGGCCGGGAGCGGUCCCCGCCCCGCUGAAGAGCCUGUAGUUUUUGGGACCACUGCCCAGAGAGAACCCGCCGAGACUCUCUGCUUCCUGAGUUUCUUUUCUGGAGGUUUGGCUGGAGAGCAGCCCGGAGAACAUUCCCCUACUGCCUGACCAUGGGAAGUCAUAGGAGGAGCACCGAUGUGUGAGAAUUGAGACACAGUGCUGCCCACCAUGUCUCUCCACUUCUCAUUAUGGCUGUACAACCAGUUUCAGAAGGCUUCUUCAAUAAAGAGCAACGGGACUUGACAUCCAGAGAGAAAGAAAUAUGAGGAGCCACACCCCACAAUUUCAUCUUGUAAAUGAGCUUAGGAAAGGAGAACAGGAGGGAAAGCCCCCGGGGCUGUCGGCCUGGGCUUCUGUCACUGCAGACAUCUGGCUUUUAAUGACAUGAUAUGGGAAGAAUCAUUUGGCACCAUCAUUGCUGUUAAAUGUCUUUCAAGCAUUAAUAAAACAUAAGAGACUCGCUUAAAA
rnacentral:lncRNA from 1 species